rnacentral:lncRNA from 1 species
GGCGGGGCCUGGGGUAGGGCCAGGAUAAGCGACAUCGGGGCAGGUCCUGGGUAGAGUCCAGGUUGGCGGUUCCUGGGGCAGGGCCAGGAUAGGGCGAUCCUGGAAGCUGGGCUUCGGAAGCGUCCAGCUGUUGUUCCCCACCAGAACCAAAUGAGCGCAAGAUCUGACAAAGAAAAAAAAAGCUGGGGAAACUGAGUUACAGAGCUUGUCUGCACUGAGUCAUCAGGAGCAAAUGCUAGAUCAGAUAGGGUCUCUCUCUCUGCCACCCAGGCCAGAGUGCAGUUGACGCAGGGCAGGGGAGCCCCGAAGUGGAGCAUAGUGUGUCCGGAACUGGUGGGUUCUUGGUCUCACUGACUUCAAGAAAGAAGCCGCGGACCCUCGCGAGACGGGGUCUUGCUCUGUUGCUCAAGCUGGA